CGAUAUUAGUCUCACUAGUAAGUGGCGACAAAAAUUUCAUACCAAUAAAAUGGUAAUAAAAAAAAUGUUUUUCUUUUUACAUAAAAAAAAGAGUGGUUUUAAUUGUUUACACUCAUUUGAGGUUAAUAAAAUGUAUUACAUUUUGAAGAAUGAACAGUCUUACAUAUUAUAAACUAUUUUUAUGCUUAUGUUAAAAGAAUUGUAUAUUUUGUACAAGUUAAAAAAAA
rnacentral:lncRNA from 1 species